UACGAAGGGGGCUAGCGUUGCUCGGAAUCACUGGGCGUAAAGCGCACGUAGGCGGACUCUUAAGUCGGGGGUGAAAUCCCAGAGCUCAACUCUGGAACUGCCUUCGAUACUGGGAGUCUUGAGUGUGGUAGAGGUUGGUGGAACUGCGAGUGUAGAGGUGAAAUUCGUAGAUAUUCGCAAGAACACCAGUGGCGAAGGCGGCCAACUGGACCAUUACUGACGCUGAGG
rnacentral:rRNA from 1 species